GGAUGAAAGGGAAAUCUGGCUGUGACAUUUGUCACCCCAUUGAUCCCCAGGGUUGAAUUGGCUGAUCUGCCUGGCUAGGCAGGUGUCCCCUUCCCCCCUCACUGCUCCAUGUGCAUCUUCCCUGAAGCUGUGUGCUCUGUCAAAGAGGACGACCAUCCCUGAUAGAUGAGGACCCAUCUUUGGUCAGGGGUAUUCAAGUAGGUGCACUCCCCAACUAGAACCUCCACACAAGCUCUCAAAUAUUCUCUGCUGUUUGCAGCUGUGGAUGUGCCCUCAAGAACGCACCAU
ensembl:misc_RNA 7SK 7SK RNA